rnacentral:rRNA from 1 species
AGAUUUCCGAAUGGGGGAACCCAAUAUCUUUUAUAGGAUAUUACUUUUCAGUGAAUACAUAGCUGAUUAGAGGUAGACGCAGAGAACUGAAACAUCUUAGUACCUGCAGGAAGAGAAAGAAAAUUCGAUUCCCUGAGUAGCGGCGAGCGAAACGGGAAGAGCCCAAACCAACAAGCUUGCUUGUUGGGGUUGUAGGACUCCAAUAUGGUAGUCUGUUAGUAUAGUUGAAGGAUUUGGAAAAUUCCGCUAAAGAGGGUGAAAGCCCCGUAGACGAAAUGCUAACAACACCUAGGAGGAUCCUGAGUACGGCGGAACACGAGAAAUUCCGUCGGAAUCCGCGGGGACCAUCCCGCAAGGCUAAAUACUCCCUAGUGACCGAUAGUGAACCAGUACCGUGAGGGAAAGGUGAAAAGCACCCCGGAAGGGGAGUGAAAUAGAUCCUGAAACCGUGUGCCUACAACAAGUCAAAGCUCGUUAAUGAGUGAUGGCGUGCCUUUUGUAGAAUGAACCGGCGAGUUACGAUUGCAUGCGAGGUUAAGUCGAAGAGACGGAGCCGCAGCGAAAGCGAGUCUGAAUAGGGCGAAUGAGUAUGUAGUCGUAGACCCGAAACCAUGUGAUCUACCCAUGUCCAGGUUGAAGGUGCGGUAAAACGCACUGGAGGACCGAACCCACGUACGUUGAAAAGUGCGGGGAUGAGGUGUGGGUAGCGGAGAAAUUCCAAACGAACUUGGAGAUAGCUGGUUCUCUCCGAAAUAGCUUUAGGGCUAGCCUCGGAAUUGAGAAUGAUGGAGGUAGAGCACUGUUUGGACUAGGGGCCCAUCUCGGGUUACCGAAUUCAGAUAAACUCCGAAUGCCAUUCAUUUAUAUCCGGGAGUCAGACUGCGAGUGAUAAGAUCCGUAGUCGAAAGGGAAACAGCCCAGACCACCAGCUAAGGUCCCAAAAUAUAUGUUAAGUGGAAAAGGAUGUGGGGUUGCACAGACAACUAGGAUGUUGGCUUAGAAGCAGCCACCAUUUAAAGAGUGCGUAAUAGCUCACUAGUCGAGUGACCCUGCGCCGAAAAUGUACCGGGGCUAAACAUAUUACCGAAGCUGUGGACUACACCAUUAGGUGUAGUGGUAGGAGAGCGUUCUAAGGGCGUUGAAGGUCGAUCGUGAGGACGGCUGGAGCGCUUAGAAGUGAGAAUGCCGGUAUGAGUAGCGAAAGACAGGUGAGAAUCCUGUCCACCGUAUGACUAAGGUUUCCUGGGGAAGGCUCGUCCGCCCAGGGUUAGUCGGGACCUAAGCCGAGGCCGAUAGGCGUAGGCGAUGGACAACAGGUUGAUAUUCCUGUACCAGUUGUUUUUGUUUGAGCAAUGGAGGGACGCAGUAGGCUAAGGAAUGCAUGCGAUUGGAAGUGCAUGUCCAAGCAAUGAGUCUUGAG